rnacentral:rRNA from 1 species
UAGUGGCGAACGGGUGAGUAACACGUGGGCAAUCUGCCCUUCACUCUGNGACAAGCCCUGGAAACGGGGUCUAAUACCGGAUAACACUCCCACUCGCAUGGGUGGGGGUUAAAAGCUCCGGCGGUGAAGGAUGAGCCCGCGGCCUAUCAGCUUGUUGGUGAGGUAACGGCUCACCAAGGCGACGACGGGUAGCCGGCCUGAGAGGGCGACCGGCCACACUGGGACUGAGACACGGCCCAGACUCCUACGGGAGGCAGCAGUGGGGAAUAUUGCACAAUGGGCGAAAGCCUGAUGCAGCGACGCCGCGUGAGGGAUGACGGCCUUCGGGUUGUAAACCUCUUUCAGCAGGGAAGAAGCGAAAGUGACGGUACCUGCAGAAGAAGCGCCGGCUAACUACGUGCCAGCAGCCGCGGUAAUACGUAGGGCGCAAGCGUUGUCCGGAAUUAUUGGGCGUAAAGAGCUCGUAGGCGGCUUGUCACGUCGGGUGUGAAAGCCCGGGGCUUAACCCCGGGUCUGCAUUCGAUACGGGCUAGCUAGAGUGUGGUAGGGGAGAUCGGAAUUCCU